CUUUAAUGUUGCUCACAAGACGCUGAUUACGCUCAUUAAACGUGUUUACAAGAGUUGUCUAAAAUGAAUAAUGUUUAUCGUAUUUGAAAGAUGAUUUGCAAGGCUCCAGUUAGCAAGUUGGAGGAAGGAUUAAAGACGUAUGUAUCGACAUACAUAAACGAUUACGAAGGUAUUCAUUUUCAUGAAAUGAGGUCCAGUGAAGCUGGUUCGGGGACAGCACAGUAGUUAGGAUCCAGAUGAUGAAUUUGAAGUCGCAUACUGCAAGUCUUUUUGUGGGCGGAAGGGUGGUGCUUACGUUGGGUAACAUCGAGUCAACCAUGAAGAUAACCUGCUCGGAGUAGUUCAGAGAUCCAGCGUAAAUUGCCAUGGCAGCAUACCCCGGGUAAAAUGUAUUCACCUUUCGUAAUACGGGUUAAUCAAGAAAUUACACCCGACGUCACUAAGUUACUCAAAUCAAAACGGCAGCGCAGAGAUGCCUAGAGACAUCAAUAUUUACUCCUUUCCUCACUCACCUCCAUGUCACCUGCCCUGUUGGCAUCUCUUUCUUUACCCUGAACGCACCAGAGUGCACAUGAAAGAAAUAUCAGUAAACAAGUUUCUUGCCAUGAUGUUCAGGAAUGGAUUAAUAACUAUUUCUGAUCUGAACUGCAAUUAUUAUUUUAAUAAACAUUGACUCUCUUGUGCUACUGCAUACUAGUAUCAUCUGACGUACUAAUUUUCUCACUGCUCUCAACUUUUCUGAGGCUGCCCAAAAAACUGAUGAAUGUCACUGCCACCCUUCCUCUUGUUCAUGAUGAUACUCACAGUGAAUGAAAGCUGAUUUAUAAAACUGCUUGCACUUAAAUCAAACAAACACUAAUGACGCUAUUUAUCAUAAGCAAAUACAGCUAAACAGUAUACUAUACGAAUAUGCAAUCAAUGAAAAAGACUACUGUCUGCACCAGUAACACAUGCAGCGCAACAUCAAUGAUUGACACUUUAUGCAGACUUCAACUGGGCUUUCUGCCAUUUCUAACAAAACCAUUAACGUAAUACAUUAACGUUAGUUGAAUACGCAUAUGAGCACCAUUGUGGUGGUUGAUUAGCACUCGCAAAUCGGCCCGUUUUCGCCAAAAACGUUUGUUUACGCUCCAUGCAAAUAUUGACGCUUUUUAACUAUUAUUUAUUCCCACAAUUACAGUUCCAGCGCAAAAUGACGAGUGUUAAUGUUAAAACUAUCACAAUCGACAGGAAGAUAUACGUAACACUCAUAUUAAAUUUUUGUUUUCCACUUUUUAAUACAUUUGAAAGUAAUAAGAGAGUACUGUGUUCGUCAUUGAUUGUACCUACCAACAGCAAUCGACCGACGGCUCAGGUACGGCAACAACACUUGGACAAACUACACACAGAACUGCAGUAAACCGCAAAACUCGUACCGGUAGUUUAGUUAUGGCUAUGUUUACAUUUGCUAAUGAUUAUUUUGGGAUGUUCCCCCCCCCCCCCCCCCCAAUAUAUAUUGCAAUUACGGCCUUGGUAUACACCAUCAUGUGAUGUCAGUGAGUUACCCCAGAGGAGUCAGACCUAAUGCCAAGACAUGUAAAAG
ensembl:lncRNA